rnacentral:lncRNA from 1 species
CUCCUCGGCCCAGCGCCUACCUCCCCGAAUCGCGGCCGCUGGGAGCGGGGUUCGAUCCCGUGAUGCCGCGUGGGUGCCGGCCAGAGAAGAGCUCCGGAGGCCGGGGCGGCCGGCGGGCGUGCGAAUGUCAUCUUUCCCAACAAGUUGUUCCCAGCAGAAUCCUCUCUCCUGGCACAAAACAAGCAGAUGAAGAGCAGCCCUGAGAGGUAGACACAGCGGAGAUUUUUUUCACCCGCAUUGUACAGAAGAGAAAAUGAAGCUUUGCCCAACCUGCAGGAGAU